GAUGAACGCUGGCGGCGUGCCUAAUACAUGCAAGUCGAGCGAACAGAUGAGGAGCUUGCUCCUCUGACGUUAGCGGCGGACGGGUGAGUAACACGCGGAUAACCUACCUAUAAGACUGGGAUAACUUCGGGAAACCGGAGCUAAUACCGGAUAAUAUAUUGAACCGCAUGGUUCAAUAGUGAAAGACGGUUUUGCUGUCACUUAUAGAUGGAUCCGCGCCGCAUUAGCUAGUUGGUAAGGUAACGGCUUACCAAGGCAACGAUGCGUAGCCGACCUGAGAGGGUGAUCGGCCACACUGGAACUGAGACACGGUCCAGACUCCUACGGGAGGCAGCAGUAGGGAAUCUUCCGCAAUGGGCGAAAGCCUGACGGAGCAACGCCGCGUGAGUGAUGAAGGUCUUCGGACCGUAAAACUCUGUUAUUAGGGAAGAACAAAUGUGUAAGUAACUAUGCACGUCUUGACGGUACCUAAUCAGAAAGCCACGGCUAACUACGUG
rnacentral:rRNA from 1 species